GAUGAAGAACGUAGCGAAAUGCGAUAAGUAAUGUGAAUUGCAGAAUUCAGUGAAUCAUCGAAUCUUUGAACGCACAUUGCGCCCCCUGGUAUUCCGGGGGGCAUGCCUGUUCGAGCGUCAUUUCACCACUCAAGCCUCGCUUGGUAUUGGGCAACGCGGUCCGCCGCGUGCCUCAAAUCGACCGGCUGGGUCUUCUGUCCCCUAAGCGUUGUGGAAACUAUUCGCUAAAGGGUGUUCGGGAGGCUACGCCGUAAAACAACCCCAUUUCUAAGGUUGACCUCGGAUCAGGUAUGGAUACCCGCUGAACUUAAGCAUAUCAUAAGCGGAGGA
rnacentral:misc_RNA from 1 species